UUUCCAGACUCCUACGGGAGGCAGCAGUGGGGAAUAUUGCACAAUGGGCGAAAGCCUGAUGCAGCAACGCCGCGUGAAGGAAGAAGGGUUUCGGCUCGUAAACUUCUAUCAACAGGGACGAAAGAAAUGACGGUACCUGAGUAAGAAGCACCGGCUAAAUACGUGCCAGCAGCCGCGGUAAUACGUAUGGUGCAAGCGGUAUCCGGAUUUACUGGGUGUAAAGGGAGCGCAGGCGGCACGGCAAGCCUGAUGUGAAAGCCCGCGGCCCAACCGCGGGACUGCAUUGGGAACUACCGGGCUGGAGUGCCGGAGAGGUAGGCGGAAUUCCUAGUGUAGCGGUGAAAUGCGUAGAUAUUAGGAGGAACACCAGUGGCGAAGGCGGUCUGCUGGACAGCAACUGACGCUGAGGCGCGAAAGCGUGGGGAGCAAACAGGAUUAGAUACCCGGGUAC
rnacentral:rRNA from 1 species